UCCGCGGGCCUUUGGACUCUGGAACUUACAUCAGCAGCGCCCUCAUUUCUCAGGACUUUGGACUGGGAUAAGUUACUAUUUUCUCCUCAACACCCCCCACCCCACACCCCAAACCUGUCUCCUAACUGAAGCCAGAGUAAUCUUUUAAAAGUGUAAGUCAGAUCAUAUCCCAGUCCACUACUGGUUUUCCAGGGUCUCCAGUUUGCAGACAGCAUGUUGUGACAUAUCUCAGCCUCCAUACCCACGCCAAUGAUAAAUGUCAUCUAUCUACCUAUUCAUCUACCUAUCACUGGUUCUGUUUCUCUGGAGAACGCUGACACAGCCUUAGUCUCGUCUAAAAAGUCACUCUAACUGGGGUGGAGGAGGAUCUGGGGUCAACUUCCAAGACCACUCACGUGGUGUUUGACAGGCUCUAGUCCCUUGCCCCAGGGAUAUCUCCUCAGAGCAGCGGCACAGCAAGGUAGCUGGCUUCUCCUGUGGUGAGGAGUCUGCAGAGCAAGACAACUUGGCCCCCAGAUGGAAGCCACUAUCUUUUAACAGCAACCUCAGAAGUGACGUCCCCUACUUCUGCCAUAUUCUCUUUGCUGGGAAGAAGAAAACUAACUCCUACCCACUACAAGGGGAGAAGAUUAAAGCUCCACCUCUUGAGGGGAAGCAUAUCAGAGAUGAAUGGACCUAUCAUUAAGACCACCACGACUUCCAGAAUAAAAAUCUUGAAAACCAGGCGCAGGAAGCCAAGAGAGAGCUGCUGGGACCCUCCCAAGCCUCCUCCUGUCACACCUGAGAAUCCUUUCAUGGGAAGCUGAGAUGCAGAGAGUACCAGACUUGCUCAAGACUCCCCUGCAUCUCCAGGAGGCAAGAAAACCUUCGGAGGUGGCAGAGGCAGCUACUUUCUCAUUUCCUGUUUGUGGUUUGGACAGGCUUUGCAGCUGCGGUGACUGAGUAUAAUCAGGAAGGCUGACAAUGCUCCCAGUUACAUAAUAGGACUCGCCAGCCCAUGGCCCCAUCUACUAACUCAUUUGAAACUGAAGGUGGAUUAUAUUCCUACUGGUUUCCCGUAAAUACGCUCCCCUCCAUCUCCCUCCCUGACCCUGAACUGAAGCUUUGGCAGCCUGACUCAUCCUGCAAAACAUUCUGUGCCAGAAGAGCCCAGAGAGUCCGUGGGCUGCCCAGCCAAGCGCUCACACACAGGGCUCGCAAGCAUUUUGGGGGCAGUCACAGUUUACGUAUCUCUUCAUAUAUAAAAUAAAAUGGACGAAUCUUUGCACUUGGUAAACAGCUUACAGGCAUCUGAGAGCUGUAGGUCUUAAAGAAUGUUCCAGAACAUUAGAGAAGGAUAAUUCAGAGCAGCCUGCUGUUUGUAACACCCGAAAGGGAUGGGCGAUUUUCUUCCCGAAUGACACCAUCUCAUUUAUAAAUUUGUCUAAUGUGAAAAGGGGAUGCAAAUGCUGCUUGGAGUACAGUCGUGACGUUAAUGUUCUGCUGAGACAAAAUUACGGUAAAUUAUGCCCUUGAGUUGAUUCUGUGAGGGGCGAGGGAUGGCAAUGCAAGCUGGUAUUGAUGUUGAAACUGUGCUGCAAGGGCUUGUAAAUGCAGGCCAGUUGCUAGGAGACCUGGAGCACACAGCUAAUGCCCACCCGGUGGGCGCAGGGAUGUUUUAUCGAGAAACCUUCUCUUUCACAGUCAACGAUGACAUUAAAUGAACAAUCUGUCAAAAUUCAGGUGAAUCAGAGCUUAUGUAUGGCUUGUGUCAAUCCAGUCAUUCUGUCACCCGCCACCCAUAAAGGGGACCAUUGCAAGAGAACAAUGUCCCAUGGUGUCAGUGACCAAGAUGCUCCAGGAAAGCUCAGAGUGAUUCACUAAAAAUUCACUUUCAAUAUGCUCACGUGAAAGACAGCUGGUUUGUUCGCUGAUAAUAGUUCCCGGAAGGGUAUGGUAGCGUCUGAUGAAUGGCUCCAGCGCGCCGAAGAGGGACGUCAAGCCCUGAGGAGAGCUCUCAGUGAAGACGGGCUUAAGUAGGACUUUGUACUCUGUCAUUUACAAACCAAGCAUUUCAGCCAUUUGUGGAAUUAUAAGAAAACAGAUUUUAUGCUAAACACAUGCUUCCUGUUUUGCCACCAAGAGCAAAAACAUGCAGAACUUUAGAACUGGAAGGCCUUUGAGAGUUCUUCCAGCGCCCCCAACUGGUGGAAGACAAAACCUGGGCCCACCAGUGGGCAAGUGGCAAGGCCAUCCCUCUGAAAAUCAUGCAAGGACUUCUGCCUUUGUAAACGCUGUCAGGCUUUGCCAAUAUCCAGGAGACACUAUAAUCAGUGACAGAGAAGAAAGCAAAAACAAAAUCUAAAGGAUGAGGAAUGGGUACAGUAGGUUUGAUUUUACUUAAAAGAAACGGAGUCACUGAGAAGUGUUCUGAGUUAUUCAAAACACCCAGCUAAUCAUCACCGGAGUGGGAACACCAUCCAGGGUCCCAGCCCAAGGCUCUUCUACAGUAACACCAGCCAGCCUUUCUCAGGAGAGUAAUGAUGUUGUGUUAGCCCACUGUUAUGAACGGCAGCAAUAGCAAUUCUGUAACGCUCCUGGAAUGCUUUGUGAUGUACAAAACAUGUGACUACACAUGGUCUCAUUUGGUUCUUACAGAUACAGGAAUUAUUCUUACCUAACAGUAUGCUUAGCACCCAGACUUGAUCUGCACGGUAUAAUUCUAACUGUGCAGUUUGCUAGGUCCCUGUGACAAUCCUGUUGCCAUGCCUGAACAUCAAGGGCAGGGCCGUGGACUUGGGUGAUAAGGGAUUGACACCUUAAUAUGCUCUGAAAAUUUUUUGUUUGCUUCACUUCAAUAUUGAAUAUCCAAAAAUAAAAUACAAAAGGGCACUUCACUGCUUAUUUAUGAAAAAUAUAAAACUAUCAUCAAUUAUAAGUAAUUGUUGAGAACUUACUAUGUGUCAGGCCAGAAACAGCAAAGGUGAAGAUGCGAUUCUAGGCUGAACUAGAAUUCUAUGACAGAAUUGGAUUUGAGCUCAAGAAGUAGAAGAAAUGAAAUAAAUGAGUAUUUGUCAGUUCCAUCCCAAGCUUCAUUGAGCUUUAAAAGCAUUUAAAAAGAGGCAGAGACAUCUUGAAGACAGUGGCCUCUUGGGGUGGCUUUUUCCUUAUAGCGGAACCUCAGCACCUCUUGCCCCCACCCCCCACCCCGGCCUAGAAAGCUCUUCUCCCAGGUGUCAGCGCGACUUGCCCUCACACUUCUUUCAAGUUAUUAUUCCUCAGGGAAAAUGAGGACUGUUCUGACCAUGUAUGUGAAACUGUGAUGCUUUCCUGGGCUGUAACCUCUCCCCGGAACCAGCCUGGAAGUGGAGGUCCAAUCUGUGCAAGAGUGACUUAUGAGCUGGCUGUGACCUUAGGCCUUUUCCAGUUUGUUUUUCUCUGCAGUGUGUAUUGCCAACUGACAAACUAUCUAUUGGUUGGCCAAAAAGUCCAUUAAGUUUUUUCUGUAAAAUAAAAGACAUAUUUUUCAUUUUCACCAAUGACUUUAUUGGUUUGGACAUUUUGAAUAUGUCAUCUAUCUCCUGCGUGGUAUAAUGUUGAUUGUCUCAAUUACUGUCUUGAUUUGAUCACUAUCAACCUCAACCAGACCCUGGAGCAUCGUCCAUCAAGAAACUUCCACCACAAAACUUUGCAAACCACUUAAGACACAUUCAGUCAAUGCCAGCACCUUCUCCAUACACCAUACAAAUCUUUGUCUUUCAGUUGUGUUUUUACCUUUCUUGAAAGAGUAAGCAUAAUAUGCUGAAAAUGUGUAUUUUCUUUCAUCUUCAAUAUUAAAGUGGCUACACAAACAUUCACCAAUUUGAUAAGCUUUUUUUAAAAUGCACACUGAUAUGACAGCUGUCACAAUAGAGUCUAACAAAAUUGUUUCGAAUGAAGUUAAAGACAACUAAGCACUACUGGGACCAUCUUACAGAAAAAAAAACUAAUGAAAUUUUUGGCCAACCCAAUAUUUCUUCUCUAUGGUUGUAUUUGAUAAGUAAUUGCUGGCUAAUUAGCAUCAAACUCAUGUUCAAAGGCUGCAAGGGACAGAGAAACAAUUUGUGCUCCAGAAGAGAGACCCCUAGUGGCUAGACUGUGUUGUACACAGACAUCAAAAAAACAAGCAGCCGAGCUUCUGUGCCCGCAGCCUCCUCCACAGCCCCCAAGACAGUGCAGGAGGAUCUUACAGGCCACUUGCCACAAUGUCAUCACCUUGUAAGAAAGCUCUUUGUUUUGUCCCAAAGCAGAGGACACUGUCCUGGGCAUGUCGUGAAACACUAAUAAAAAACUCAUCUGUCAGCAUGGAGCGUUUUCAUUUUUAAGAGCUGAUGAUACACGGAUUUCUGGCAGGCCUGAAUGGACAAGGUGAAACCUGUCCACUGUGCCAUUUGGCCGUCUGAGAUGGUGAUUUGAAGAAGUCACCUGAAUAAUGUCGGCAGGUCUCAAAUGUGGUUUAUUAGCACCGGGCACAUCACCUCUUAGGUGUCAGAAUGACUUUGAUGGGCAGUUUAAUUAAGCUGCUAUUUGUUUCGUAAGUACAAAUAGUAAUCCCUUAGUUUUAUCCUCUGCUGCUCUGAUGAACUGGUCAAUAAUUGAUUUUUUAGCACAAUAAUACAGAAGACUUUCAUAAUUUUAUGUAUUUCUUCAUGGAAACUGACUGUGUUUUCUCAAAUCAUUUCACAGAGUUCAGAUUUACUUAUUUUUACAGCUCUGAGAUGGAAAUGAAAUAAGUUCUGUGAGAAAAAUUAAAGUCCUGUCGUUAGGUUAAAAUGGUAGCGUUUCCAAAUGUUAACACAAGGCUUUUUAAAAAAUUUAAUUCUUCAAUCGUCUUCCUUGGAGCCUUCAGCCUUCAGGGCCAAGUCCUGAGGUUUGUCAACCCAAGGAAAAAAAGUACAGGAACACCCUUGAACAAACUGGCCAUUGAUCGGGUUUAAGUGUCAACACUGAGGUUUGUAAACAAAAUGGUUUUGAAAAUCAGGCUCAAAGAAGUGAGAAAUUGUCUAAGUCACCUUAUCUCCUUCUUUAUAUCAGAGGCCAUCCCUGAAGGAUGCAGGUGGUGGAGUUUCUUCCACUAAGCAAAAGAUGGCAAGUCUUCCCUCCCUGCGGAGGGAGGUCAGCAAGCUCACUGAUCUGGGGAGAAAAAGGAAAAGUUCAAGGGGAAAUGACAAGUCCAGAAUUGGACCCUGCCAGCCAGGAAGACUGAAGUCUUGAGGCAUUAUGAGAGGCGAUAUUGGCUGAUCGAGGGGUUGGCUGCCAUGCUCUUUUCCUUGCUCACACGUUUCCAGGGCUGACCUUGAGUGGAGUGGUGAAGGGAAGAAAGGACUUAGCAGCAACCAGAUAUGCCUGAGAACGUCUGACCCUGAGCCUAGCGGUCCAGCAUCAGGGAGAAUAUGGACUCUUUGGAGAACUCCAGCAUUCAGCUUAAGUCCAUGUCCAUUCUGGCCUUAAGAUGAGGCAAGAAGGCAGCUAUAGAAAGUGCAGGGUCUCCAAGGUCUUUGUACGAAGUGUGAAGGGAGGACAUGGAGUUUUUGUGUUUUCAUUGGACUAACAUAGUCAAGGAGCUACAGACUUUAAGGAUAUCAGCAUUGGAGGCAAUGACCGGGAUCCCGUGCUCCAGUGAUGGGAGCCAGGUAGGAGAGCCACUCUGACAUGGAGAUCAGGAGUGUCCCCAAGGACAAUGCAUCCACCUGAGGACACCUUCUCCCUUUGUGAGGUCAUAGAAGCUGCCCUUCUUCCCUCGAUUGAUAUUUACCUGGUAUACACUGGUCUGGCCACACUGGUUAUUUAUGGCCAAAGCCUCUUCUCAUUGAUGCUGGUUGUUAAAUAUUACUAUUUUUAAUAUUGCUUCUAUACAUAUCCCACAUUUCCAGAAACCCUUAGAAGGAAAGCCACAACUUUGAAAGAUAGAGAAUUAUUUCCGAAGAGACCAAGCAUUUGCUUAAAGAGAUUGCUAAUUAUUUGGAUCAUAUUAUAAACAUAUUAGGCUGGACUAAAAUUAAGUUGCCCUUCCCUUUGUCACUAAGGUGGAGAACCUGUAAGAGGGAUCAGAUCUAUGAACUGUAUGUAAACAAACUAUAUUUUUUCUGUAUGCAAUUCAAUGAAUUUGCAGCUUUGUGUCAAAUUCUAGCACAGGAGACUGGAAGGAUCUGGGAACUGCCUUUAGCACUUAAAUUUACUAGCAUUCUCAGCUCCACCCGGGCAGGGAUUUUGUCUGUUUGGUCCAUAACUGUAUCUCCAGUGCUCAGAAUAAAUGUCUGUCACAGGGUAGGUGCUUGGAAGGUAUUUACUGAAGGGAUUACAACUGUUACAUGGGGGAGACUUGCAAAGCGCCCCCUAAGCAUUUCAAUACAAUUUCAAAAAGCAGUGUAUCCCUGGUGUCAUCCAUUACAAUCUGUGCUUGUCAGCUCCCUCGAAGAACAUUAUGUUCCAUUAUAGGCACCAAAAUUUAAGAGGAGCGUUCAUCAAUAAAAUAGAGAAGACCCCAAAGGGAGCAGGCAGGACAAAAGAAUUCUGAAAACCACCCCAAAGAAACAGUUGACAGAACUUCAGAAAAAAAUUACGACGAAAGGAUAUGAUGCUAUUUCCAAAUAUUAGAAAGGCCUUCAUCAAGGACGAGUCUGAAAUACAUGUCUAACUGCAUGUUCAUAAUUAGACCCAAUGGGAAGAAAUUAUGGAUGGGCAAAUUUUGGCUCAAUGUAACAAAGAAUCUUCUGACUCUAACUUUCAAAUGAUGGAAUGGAUGGCUGAAGUGAGGGUUAAUCGUAUGUUGAUUGUAUAUUGUCAAACUAAUAUAAAAAGGAUCAC